AGUUUUCCGAAUCCGUGCUGAGAUUUCAUCAGACACCAGCCCAUUAGGGCUGAUCAGACUUCCAAGAUCAGUGAAGUU
rfam:Schistosoma mattheei strain Denwood, Zambia genome assembly, scaffold: SMTD_scaffold0004177